CGCCUCCAUGCCUGCCGUAGCAGCUACGUGCUGCCUGGCAUGUGCACUCUGCCAGGUCCCUGGAGGGCACUGCUGUCUCUCACUUGCUCAGGGUUCAGGAGUUGUUAAUCCCGGAUUCAGAUAAUAAUAUCCAAAGGCAAUCAGGGGACAUUGAACCAGCUGGAGCUGAAGGCUCCUCUCUGUGGGCCAUGGAAGGAGGGGCCUCUGCAUUCCUCUGCCUGCCAUAGGCUGGGCCUGCAGCAAGUGCUCAACUACAGUGGGAAGAAUGGCUGAGUGAAGGAGAGAUCCUCCCAGACUACAGUAAGUUCCUCUGCUGAUAGAGGUGAGAGAAAAGCAGAGCCUGGAGUGGAGGAAGGGUAGGCCUUCCCCCAAAUUAUAGAGGACACACAUUGAUCAUCAGAUUGCUUUUAAGAGCCUCGCCUCUUCACUCCUCCCACACCAAGUGUCUGCUGCUCCCUUUCAACUGCAAACCACCAGUACUAAGACAUCAGUAACCAAGUGUCACCUCUCCCAGGGUGCUGUGCUCCCCUCCCUCUGCAGAACCCUCCUUCCUAAUCCCCCUGCCCCACUCCCCACACCCACUUUGAGAGGCAUGCAGCCAUGGACCACUGAGAGUGGGAUUUCAAACACGAGUGAUGAAAGUGAUGUUAGGAAAGAGGAGGAGCUACAGUGGAGUCCUGCAAAGUAUUUGCCAUCACAGCCUGCAGCAUCUUUAAACACAUAACCUCAGUGUCUCCUUCCCUUGAGGGUAGCCAUCACCACUGGAAAGAGCAAACAAAUCUUGCGAACAAGGGUCAGAGGUCAGCCCAGUGUAUCUGUCCUUGGAAACUACAAUUACCUUUGAAAGAAAUCUGUUUCUACCUGGAUGACUACAUCCCAUAUCUUCAUGCCACUCAACUUCUUGUAUUCAAUCAAGAAAUAUGUAUUGAGCCCCAGCUAUGUGCCAAAUACUAUUCUAGGACAAAAUAGCAGUGAAGAAGAAAAAAAAGAUCCUGCCUUCAUGGAUCAGAGUUCCUACAGCAGGAAGGCAAACAAUAAACAAACAAAUACAUACAUAAGAGAUGCAAACAAAUAACAAAGAAGGAGGAGGAGAAUCAAUAUGGAUUGGUUCACAGGACCCACAGCAGACGGACAGCUGGGUCUUUGAGUGAAGAGCUAAACAGUGGUGAUGUCUGAAUGGUCUUGAGUUUUCAGGAGCAUCUUUCAUUCUAAUGAAGCAACCCUUGAUGGGCUCCUGGAUAGCUUCAGGGUGGAAGCCGGUCACCAAAAAGCUCAAGCCGUGAUUAGAAGCUUGGAACUUUCAGCCACACCCCACCCCUAUCCUCCAGGAAAGAAGAGGGGCUAGAGGUUGAAUUAAUAGCCAUUCAUGCCUUCUUGAUUAAGCCUAAUAAAAGUCGCCAAAGUACAGGGUUCAGAGACCUGGGUUGGUGAACACAUCUAUGUGCCAGGAAGGUGGUGUGCCUCGACUCACUGGAGACAGAAGCUCCUGCAAUCAGACCCUUCCAGACCUCACCCUGUGUACCUCUUCAUCUGCCUGUUCAUCUGUAUUCAUUAUCAUAUCCUUUAUCAUAAGCCAAUAAACAUAAGUCUCUCUCCAA